rnacentral:lncRNA from 1 species
AUUAGCAGUAGCAUGGCGCUCGUUGGCCAUACCUGGCCCUUGCGCUAUUAAACGUCAAACAUUUAUUCAUUCACUUCAACAGUUCUCAUUUUAUGGCUUGCAUUGCCAUUCUAUAUUAUUAUCACAGGGUGUCUACCAACCGGGAAAAUCGGGAAUUCUCAGGGAUUUUGAAUAGUCUAGAAGUACUCAAGGAAUUUGUGCUUCUAUCAGGGAAAAUUAGCUGUAAUUUAAUUGAAAGGGAACGAAAGUCGCGGUAAUGCUGGCUCGAGUCACACAGAGGAAUCGUAAUGAAUCGUUUUUGACGCCCCGUCGUCGGCUGGCGGAGUUCCUGCUUACAGUCAACGACCGACUUUCCGGACGACCGAUAAUUCGGACGGUUUUGCGGCACCACCACGUGCGCCAUAGAGUCAACGUAUAAAAACGUCUGAAAUUUCAGACGCAACAACCCUUCGCCGUCCGAUUCUCCGAACUUCUUUGUCGUGACCGCAGGUCUGAAACGGCAUUAAUCAAAGCGACCGCCGCCGCCAUUUUGAUUACCUCGCCGCCUCGAACCAGCUCUCUCGCACGUAGAUCCGUUGGUACUAACGCUGCAACGCUAGGCUUAGCUGCUUCGACGCUAGCUAUUAAGCUUCUUGUCGUUCUGUGCCGUUUUUUUCAUUGAACGAAUUCGCCGCUGUCAGCAAUGGCACCGAAUCCGCCUUUGUGGUCCUCGCGAUUGGCUUCGAAGCUCGGAAAGCUCGGUGCGUUGCAUAAUGCUAGUUCCCGAAAGUCAGCUUCGCCUCAAUAAAGCAAUGUUACGCUGUGAAGCAAACGCAAAAGUAUUGCGGUGAAGCAUCAGAGUAUGAAGGGACAAUUGUCACGGGACACAGUACGUAUUCCUCAAUUAUACACGCGUGCACCCGCCAUCUCCUGUCACAGUACGAGCACCGAUAUGCCUAAUAAGUGUACUGGCAGGCCUUCGGAGCUGUUUCGUAUGUCCCUGUGGGGACUUGCGCCCUUAAGGGCAAUAAAAGACAUGCAUUCAUUUUUUUCGAACAGCCCGAUUUUUCGAACGUUUUCGAGGCCCCUAGGGAGUACAAAAAAAUGGGACGUUGACUGUACAAAUGACCAAGAGGAUGCCUCAAAUUGUCCGUGGGGUGAACGCGCGGCGCAAGGAGGACGAGAACGGAAAGGACCUACGCAUUUAUGAAUAAAUAGCAAAGGAAGCAUGCCGCCGCUUCUUUGAAGGAGCUUGAUUUCAAAAAACAAAGUGUUGCCUGAAGCCGAGAUGCAGGUGUCCCUCUAUCAAACUCUUUAAAGGAGUGAAACGCAAUAACGAGGCGUUGUGUGUAGGCUAAGCGUAUAUUAGGGCACAUCGUUCUCUAGGUGACCUUGCUACCUUGCUUCAGCAUAUGUCAGGAUAGUUGACGUUGACUUACCAGCUGUUGAGAGAGGAUCUCACUUGUGACAAAACUUGCUCUUUAUGCCAUUGAGCUUGUUAUUAGUUGUUACAAAUAGCCUAUGUUCGAAAAUAUUUGCUUCUGUAUGCAUAUUCAUUUUAUUAGUAUUUGAGAAUGUUCGACUCGAUUCGCAGUGGGUUUUACCAUUUUUCUUUUUCGCAGAUAUUUUGUUAGCUGUGCAUUUUACUAACCAUUCUGUUUUCUUUUUGAAUAAAAUAAACACUACUCCUUAGUAUUCAAACUGGAUUAAGUGGUUUUUUUUUUUUAUUUUUGAACAUGCUCACUAGAGAGUAUAAGCUUUGGGCGACAUGGUGUCAGCCCGUCUUGACAUAAAACAAAGUUCUACGUCACUCAGGGAAUUUCGCAAAGACACUCAGGGAAAACCUGGAAAACUCAGGGAAUUGAGAAAUGUCAACUAGGUAGACACCCUGGUAUAUCACCUACGUUAAUGUAAAUAUUUGGUAGCGACAUCUUGCGACGCUUUGUCUGACCACACCGCAUUAGAAAUGUUUUUGUUACAUGCGUGUUCUCGUCGAAUGAAAAAUAUGCAGACUUAAUGUUAACGUUUACGUCGCGGCCGACAACCUAUACACCAGCAGCAAGUAGAACAUGGUUGGUUACCGAAAUAAUAGCCGUUUCCUCUGUGGUUAAACUCUGCGUCACAAGAUGGUGCCACCUACUUGGCCGCUCGCGCCACCGUCUCCACAACCAGGCAUUCCGUGAACUGCAAUACGUUUACAGACAGACCAAAACUUUCUUAUAUCUGCGUCCUCCUUGGUUAAAGUCUGCGUCACUUGAUCGCGCCAACAACCCUGCCGAUUGCGUUAAAGGGCAACUCCGGCGUUUUCUUAACCAUAUUAGGAUAAUAAACAGCUUUAGUUUAGCGCGGAAUAGCGGGGUCGAAAUGCGCAUGCGCAGAACGCUAAACGACCAGUACUGUUUAGCGUUUAGCGUACGCGCGCUAUUUCUCCGAUUUUACGCUACCGUCUUUGCGUGGUUUACGUUGCUAUCACGUGGUGCAAGAUGACGACAAAUGUUCAACUGCGCCGUUGCGAAGCCAACUUUACGGGCGUGAUGCCGACUCGUCGUUUCCGUCAAUGCCACCGACAUUGCAAUCAGCGGAACAUCGAACGUGUGCUGCAUUCAUCGGCUCCGUGUUUCAGGUACAGUAUCGGACGAUAUUAAGUCAAGGACCUUGGUGAAAUGAUACGAAACACAUCAUAUUGACACUUGUACUCCAGUAUGACUGGGUGCAGCGCACCAUACUGCACAAACCACACGUAAAGUGGCAAAGCCUUUUACGCGGUGUAGUGCGCAGGGAUAGACGUGCGCCGGCGACUAGUAUGGGUACUGCGUGUGGGCCGAGACCAGCCGGCUCCGAAAGGGACCACGAUAGGCGAGGUGCGUUCACCUUGUUUACAGAGGCGCCACGAACCAGCACUCGUGCCCGGCUUCCAGCAGCCAUCGGUCAUCCAUUCUCUUGUACGAAAUAAAUUUGAUCUAGAAGCUCGUG